AAAUUUGGUUUGGUUACUGGGAAAUUUUCCUAACUUUUUUAUAUAAUAUUUAAAAAAAUGUAAAUAGAAAAUUUAAUUUAUUUAAUAAUUAAAAAUUAUCGAGAGUUAGAAAUAAAUUCUAGCUAAAUUUGUGCCAGCAGCAGCGGUUAAACAAAUAGAAUUUUUCCCCUUUUAAUUUAAUUUAAAAAAAAAUUAUAUAAAAUGUUAUUAAAAUUAAAGGUGAAAUUUAAUUUUAAUUUUUAAUUAGAUAAAAUUGGAAUUUCGAUUUUAAACUAGGAUUAGAUACCCUAUUAUUAUGAAGCUAAACAUUGUAAGUAAAUAUUAAUUAUAAAAGCAAAAAAUUAUGGCGGUAUCUUAAGCUUUUCAGAGGAAUUUGCUCUAUAAUGGAUAAAACACCUAAAUCUUACUUUAAUUAGUAAAAUCAAUUUGUAUACCACUAUUAAAAUAAUAAUAUACAAUUAUUAUUAGAAUAUAAUUUAUAUAAUAAAUUAAGUCAAGGUGCAGUAAAAAUUAAAGAAUGAAGUGAAUUACAUUUCUUUUUAGAAAAAAAAAUGAAAAAUUAUUUCGGAUUUGAAAGUAAAAUUGAAAUAGUAUGUUAAUUUGAAUUUAGCUCUAAGAUAUGUACAUAUCGCCCGUCACUCUUUUUAAGAUAAGUCGUAACAAAGUUAAAAUACUGGAAAGUGUUUUAAAAA
rnacentral:ncRNA from 1 species